UACGUAGGGGGCAAGCGUUGUCCGGAUUUAUUGGGCGUAAAGAGCGUGUAGGCGGUCAGGUAGGUCCGUUGUGAAAACUCGAGGCUCAACCUCGAGACGCCGGUGGAAACCAUCAGGCUAGAGUCCGGAAGAGGAGAGUGGAAUUCCUGGUGUAGCGGUGAAAUGCGCAGAUAUCAGGAAGAACACCGAUGGCUAAGGCAGGUCUCUGGGCCACUACUGACGCUGAGAAGCGAAAGCAUGGGGAGCGAACAGG
rnacentral:rRNA from 1 species